rnacentral:rRNA from 1 species
UACGGAACAGGCAAGCGUUGUUCGGAAUCACUGGGCUUAAAGCGCACGUAGGCGGCAUCGCAAGUACUUUGUGAAAGCCCUCGGCUCAACCGAGGAAUAGCUGGGUAUACUGCGGUGCUUGAGGCAGGUAGGGGUGCUUGGAACUCUAGGUGGAGCGGUGAAAUGCGUAGAUAUCUAGGGGAACGCCUGUGGCGAAAGCGGAGCACUGGGCCUGACCUGACGCUGAGGUGCGAAAGCGUAGGGAGCGAACGGG